rnacentral:rRNA from 1 species
AUUGAACGCUGGCGGCAGGCCUAACACAUGCAAGUCGAGCGAGCGGCGGACGGGUGAGUAAUGUAUGGGGAACUGCCCGAUAGAGGGGGAUAACUACUGGAAACGGUGGCUAAUACCGCAUACUAUCGGAUGAACCCAUAUGGGAUUAGCUAGUAGGUGGGGUAAAGGCUCACCUAGGCGACGAUCUCUAGCUGGUCUGAGAGGAUGACCAGCCACACCGGGACCGGGACACGGCCCAGACCCCUACGGGAGGGCGCAGUGGGGAAUAUUGCACAAUGGGCGACAGCCUGAUGCAGCCAUGCCGCGUGUAUGGAGAAGGCCUUAGGGUUUUAAAGUACUUUCAGCGGGGAGGCGUUACCCGCAGAAGAAGCCCCGGCCAACCCCGGGCCAGCAGCCGCGGUAAUAC